UCGGAGGUUAUCUCUCGCCUAACGAAUUCCGAGAAUCACGAUUUUCAAAUUUUACGUAACUUGUUCAUACAAAUCACACAAUCUAAGAGAAUCAUUGAUACAUUUUGUAAUCACGCUUAAUCUUCUUAUUGAGACUAUCGAAUAUUGAAAAAAUACUGAUGAAAAGAUAUCCAAUGUUUUUGUCUCAAGAUUUGCGACUUACAGUUUUAACACUCUAAGUGCAAAUCACGCAUUGAAUGAUAAGGAAUUUGAAAACUUUUCCUUGUUAAAAAGAAGUUGUCUUCCUGAUUUUCUCAAAGAAUACACUCAAGCCUGACAAUGAACAACCGUUUGAUUCUGAUCUUUAUUUGUUGUUACUUUUUAAUUGGCGCCGUCUUGUGCGCUGAUGAUGACAAUUCACAGAAGGGUUUGUUAGAGAGACUUGUGACGGGAUUAAAAGAUGGCUUAAUUGACGGCAUAACGAAAGUGUUCGAUGUGCUCAUAGCUAUAACGCAGGGUCUUCUCUGAAAA